rnacentral:rRNA from 1 species
ACUCAAAUGAAUAGACGGGGGCCCGCACAAGCGGUGGAGCAUAUGGCUUAAUUCGAUGCAACGCGAAGAACCUUACCAGGGCUUGACAUGUACCUGCAAUCCCCCGAAACGGGGCCGCCUUCGAGGGUGGUGCACAGGUGGUGCAUGGCUGUCGUCAGCUCGUGUUGUGAAAUGUUGGGUUAAGUCCCGCAACGAGCGCAACUCUCAUGUUUUGUUACCAGCGGAUAAUGCCGGGGACUCGAGACAAACUGCCUCUGUAAAGAGGAGGAAGGUGGGAACGACGUCAAGUCAUCAUGCCCCUUACGCCCUGGGCUGCACAUAUGCUACAAUGGCGUCUACAAAGGGUUGCUAGCCAGCGAUGGUAUGCUAAUCUCAAAAAAGACGUCUCAGUUCGGAUUGGAGUCUGCAACUCGACUCCAUGAAGUUGGAAUCGCUAGUAACCGCAGGUCAGCAAUACUGCGGUGAAUACGUUCCCGGGCCUUGCACACACCGCCCGU